rnacentral:rRNA from 1 species
CAGCCGCCACGGUAAUACGAAGGGGGCUAGCGUUGUUCGGAUUAACUGGGCGUAAAGGGUGCGUAGGCGGAUUUUUAAGUCAGGGGUGAAAUCCCAAGGCUCAACCUUGGAACUGCCUUUGAUACUGGGGAUCUUGAGUCCGGGAGAGGUAAGUGGAACCGCGAGUGUAGAGGUGAAAUUCGUAGAUAUUCGCAAGAACACCAGUGGCGAAGGCGGCUUACUGGCUCGAAACUGACGCUGAGGCGCGAAAGCGUGGGGAGCAAACAGGAUUAGAGACCCCGGUAGUCCCUGUCUCUUAUAC